GAUGAACGCUGGCGGCGUGCCUAAUACAUGCAAGUCGAGCGAACGGACGAGAAGCUUGCUUCUCUGAUGUUAGCGGCGGACGGGUGAGUAACACGUGGAUAACCUACCUAUAAGACUGGGAUAACUUCGGGAAACCGGAGCUAAUACCGGAUAAUAUUUUGAACCGCAUGGUUCAAAAGUGAAAGACGGUCUUGCUGUCACUUAUAGAUGGAUCCGCGCUGCAUUAGCUAGUUGGUAAGGUAACGGCUUACCAAGGCAACGAUGCAUAGCCGACCUGAGAGGGUGAUCGGCCACACUGGAACUGAGACACGGUCCAGACUCCUACGGGAGGCAGCGGUAGGGAAUCUUCCGCAAUGGGCGAAAGACUGACGGAGCAACGCCGCGUGAGUGAUGAAGGUCUUCGGAUCGUAAAACUCUGUUAUUAGGGAAGAACAUAUGUGUAAGUAACUGUGCACAUCUUGACGGUACCUAAUCAGAAAGCCACGGCUAACUACGUG
rnacentral:rRNA from 1 species